rnacentral:rRNA from 1 species
CCCUUAGAUGUCCGGGGCCGCACGCGCGCUACACUGAAGGAAUCAGCGUGGCUUUCUCCCUGACCCGAAAGGGUUGGGAAACCCGUUGAAUCUCCUUCGUGAUAGGGAUUGGGGCUUGAAAUUGUUCCCCAUGAACGAGGAAUUCCCAGUAAGCGCGAGUCAUAAGCUAGCGUUGAUUACGUCCCUGCCCUUUGUACACACCGCCCGUCGCUACUACCGAUUGAACGGUUUAGUGAGGGCCUCGGAUUGGUCUCGGCCCGCUCUUUACCGGGCGGCGCCGUUGGUCGAGAAGACGCUCGAACUUGAUCGUUUAGAGGAAGUAAAAGUCGUAACA